AAUGAACGCUGGCGGCGUGCCUAACACAUGCAAGUCGGAUGUGCCCGCAAGGGUGCAUGGCAGACGGGUGAGUAACGCGUGGGGAAUCUACCUUUUAGUGGGGAAUAACGCUCCGAAAGGAGUGGUAAUACCGCAUGUGACCGUUUGCUGGAAUGCGGACGGUGAAACCCUGGGACCUUCGGGCCAGGGGCUAGAAGAGGAUCCUGCGUCUGAUUAGCUAGUUGGCGGGGUAACGGCCCACCAAGGCGACGAUCAGUAGCCGGCCUCGAGAGGGUGAUCGGCCACACUGGAACUGAGACACGGUCCAGACUCCUACGGGAGGCAGCAGUGGGGAAUUUUGCGCAAUGGACGAAAGUCUGACGCAGCAACGCCGCGUGGGUGAUGAAGGUCUUCGGAUUGUAAACCCUAGUCGUCAGGGACGAAGGGUGGGGCGUGAAUAGCGUUCUACUUUGACGGUACCUGGAAAGGAAGCCCCGGCUAACUCUGUGCCAGCAGCCGCGGUAAGGUCGUCCA
rnacentral:rRNA from 1 species